rnacentral:rRNA from 1 species
CAGCACCUCAAGUGGUCAGGAUGAUUAUUGGGCCUAAAGCAUCCGUAGCCGGCGCUGUAAGUUUUCGGUUAAAUCUGUACGCUCCACGUACAGGCUGCCGGGAAUACUGCAGCGCUAGGGAGUGGGAGAGGUAGACGGUACUCGGUAGGAAGGGGUAAAAUCCUUUGAUCUAUUGAUGACCACCUGUGGCGAAGGCGGUCUACCAGAACACGUCCGACGGUGAGGGAUGAAAGCUGGGGGAGCAAACCGGAUUAGAUACCCGAGUAGUCC